rnacentral:lncRNA from 1 species
CUGUGCUGCUGUCAGGGAACUGCCAUCGGACGGAAGGGAGGUGAAAGGGCUCACACACGUUGGGAGAGACGCAGCAGCUGAAGAGGGAACCAACAGGGAGGUGAAAGGGCUCACACAGGUUGGGAGAGACGCAGCAGCUGAAGAGGGAACCAGCACGGGGAGAGGAGCUGAGCUGGAGGGAUGGCUCAGAGACACUUCCAGCGAAAACAGUGGGGAGGUUUCAGGACCUCCUGUAAGAACACCCACUCCUCGCCGGAAACUGUCACGCAGAGAUUCCAGAAGACGUGUUUCCGUUAAGGAGCUUUUAUGUUGGAAGCGAUUACGAAAGCAACCACUGUCGGAAUCUGCUAGUGACUAGAGUAGCCAUGUCUGAGGGGCUCCGUCACAGACAGAGGUUUGUGGACUUGAACAAACUCUGAGGGGAUACGAUUUUACGCACAAGCAGCUCAUCAUCCCAUCACAGCAUUCCGACAGUCUUUGAAAGCAGCUUGUGCAGGAGAAGGCAUCAUGAGCAACCCAGCCGGAACCGGAGAAGCAGGAGCUGGAGCGGGUCCAAGCCUGGAAGAAAGGUACCAGAUGUUGGAGGUCCACCUAGCGAUGCAGACGGCGAGGCUUGAGGAGAGGAGGGCUCAGGAUGCAGACAAAAGGGGGAAAGCCACCCAGUUCGCCAGAAAGGUACCAGGAUUGGUGCAGAAGUUUGGGGGGGAGCCCAAAAACUAUCAUGGUUUUCGGACAGAAAUGCAAUAUGCACUCAAUCUGCAGUUUGAUGAAUUCCCUGACGAGGAAUCACGAGUGGCUUUCGUGAUUGAGCAUCUUUAAAAGGGUGAUAGAGACUCCUUUAGACCCCUGACGGCAGCGAAUAUUGACGUAUUAAAGGACACGAUGACGUUGUUUCGCGCCAUGGAUCUGAUGUUUUCCAGCGAUAUUGAAAAGGAGUGGUGCGCAGACAGUUAAUGGGUUGCAAACAGGGAGCCGAUCUGUCCGUGAGUACUGGACUGAGUUCACCAUGCUUGUUCACAGAUUGGGGUGGGACUUAUCGGCGGAACCCAUUCAAAUGCUCUUUGAAGAAGGGCUUUCUUCGGCUGUGAAAGACGAACUUUCCCGGGCGCCCAGGGCGGAGUCUAUGGACCAGCUGACCAAAUCAGCGCUGGCCAUAGGAGGCGCGCCAGGAGGCGAGAGCAUUGGAGAGGCGGGAAGGGAAGGGGAACGUUGGAAGGAGUUCCGCAUUCCAGACAUUCCAGAGCCAACUUUCCCACCGGCAGAGCCGAUGGAAAUCGGAACAGCGCGCGCGCGCAGUUUCAAAGCCCAGUGAGGGGGCAAAGAAGGAGGAAAAGGCGCCCGGAAAUGCUAUCUCUGCCAACAGCCAGGUCACUUUGCCAGAGUCUGCCCCCAGAGGAAAGAAUGGCAAGGGAUGGUAGGAGCUGUGGAUGGAAGAGAGGAAAAUAUACCGGAGCAAGUAAAAGCCAACGCCUGGCUGCCACUGUCAGGGCACAGCAGCCAGGCCAAAGAGCAGUGAGAGUGCCCACGCCAGAACCUCCUAAACCCGCCCUAGUGAUAGAAGUGACGCUAGAGCUGCCAAACGGACACCCUCUAAAGAUAAAGGCGCUGUUGGACUCAGGCAGCUCCUGCAAUUUCAUGAGCAAGGAGUUUGCAGCUGAACACCAGAUACAGACAAUCCCUUUAAGCAGCCCCUGCAGGUGACCACGAUCGAUGGCAGGGAGCUGUUGGGUGGAGAAGUCAGCUUGCAGACCGUCCCAAUGAUAAUGAAGGUAGCAAGGCACACCGAACUGAUAGCUUUUAAUGUGGCCACCUUGGGAGGAGCUCCCAUUAUAUUGGGGAUGAGCUGGCUAGCGUUACAUGAUCCGCUGGUGGGCUGGCAUCAGAGAGUGGUUUCUUUGGGUUCAGCACAUUGCUUAGAACACUGCAAAGAGGGAAAGGGUUUGGCAGGGGUCCAAGCCACCCUAGCAGGGACUGAAGUAACAGAGAACGUGAAGGUACCACGACAAUAUGCAGAUCUCCGUGACGUCUUCAGCGAAAGGGAAGCUGACCAACUACCCCGCAUAGACCCUUUGACUGUCAAAUCAACUUACUCCCUGGAGCACAGCUCCCUGUAGGCAAGCUGUACGCCAUGUCAGACAGAGAGAUGCAGGAGUUAAGAGAGUUCAUUGACAAGAACCUGAAGAGAGGGUUCAUCAGAGAGUCCAGGGCGGUGGGGGCAGCCCAGUGUUUUUGUGGAUAAGAAAAACACGAACAAGCCGAGGCUGGUGUGUGACUUCAGGGCCUUAAAUGCAGUGUCAGAACCAGUAGCCUUCCCUAUGCCCAGGAUUGACGACAUUUUGACAAGGGUGCGGAAGGGAAAGAUUUUCACAAAGCUGGACCUAAGGGGGGCGUACAACCUGGUACGAAUAAGGAAGGGGGAUGAAUGGAAAACCACUAUGUUCACCCCUUUAGGGGCAUUUGAAUAUUUGGUUAUGCCCUUCGGCCUACAAGCAGGCUCCGCAACAUUUCAAUCGUUUAUGAACCACGUCCUGGGGCCUUUGCUUUACAAGAAUUGUGUGGCCUUUUUAGACGACGUGUUGGUGUAUUCUGAGAAUGAGGAGCAGCAUGUGAGAGACGUCAGAGAAGUGUUGAGCAGGCUGCAAGCCAGCCUGCUGUGGGUGAAACUGGAGAAGUGUCAGUUUCAUACCAAGGAGGUGGAAUUCCUGGGGUAUCGCCUGUCAGACAAGGGAUUGGCCAUGGAUCCCGGCAAGGUCCAGGCGGUACUGGAAUGGAAAACACCCAAAACAAAGAAGGAUGUGCAGAGGUUCCUAGGAUUUGGGAACUUCUAUCGUAAGUUCAUCCGAAACUUUGCCCACCUGACGGCGCCCAUUACGGACUGUCUCAGCAGUAAGAAGAAGUUCGUGUGGACUGAGGAGGCGGAGCGAGCAUUUGAGGAACUAAAAGGGCCUUCGCCUCGGAACAACAACUCCUGCAUGUGGAUUUACAAAAACCGAUGAGAGUGGAAACUGACGCAUCAGACAGAGCGAUUGGGGCGGUGCUUCUGCAGCCAGGCAAGAAGGGGUCAGAGUGGAGACCGUGUGCCUUUUCGCGAAAGCUGAACAAAUCCGAGAGGAACUACACGGUGUAUGACCGAGAACUACUAGCCAUUCAUGAGGCGUUCCGGAGAUGGAGGCACCUGCUAAUUGGCGCACAACAUAAGGUGCAAGUGUGCACUGACCACAAGAACCUAGAGUAUUGGAGGACGGCACGAGUGCUCAACCAACGGCAAGUGAGAUGGGCCCAGGAGUUCUCCAAAUUUAACUUUGAGAUUAGUUACGUGCCAGGCCCAGAGAACAUUAGGGCGGACGCUCUCUCACGCAAACCUGAAUAUUUGGAGGGGGAGGGGCACCCGAAGAGAGACAUGUCAUUCCAGAAGACCGCUGGGUGUGUGGGGCGGCAUUGGUGGGACAAAGAGAACUGGUAGAGGAAACAGAGAAUGAUGAAUACGCCCAGAAUAAGCUCAGAGGUCUUAGGGGUGAUGGAGAGGAACCAGGGGUUUGAGGAAAGAAAUGGAGCUUUGUAUUACAAAGGGGCACUGUAUAUCCCUGAAGGAGAGUUAAGGGGAGGGUACUCAAGCAGUUGCACGACAGCCCUACGGCGGGGCAUUUUGGACAACACAAAACCAUGUGGUUGGUCACCAGGGAAUUUUGGUGGCCUAAGGUGAGGGAAGAUGUACGUGAGUAUGUAAGAGGGUGCGAGCAAUGCCAGCGAGCCAAAGGGAAAGGCGGGCGCCGGCGGGGCUGUUAGGAACCCUUACCAACCCCAGAACGACCUUGGGAGGCAGUGUCGAUAGAUUUUAUGACUGAUCUGCCGAAGUCCAAAGGGAAAACAGCCAUCAUGGUGGUGGUAGACCUACUAACAAAGAUGUGCCACUUUGUAGCUUGCUCGCAUGCAGUCACGGCGGAAGAGACAGCGAAGUUAUUUGUAGAAAACAUUUUUAGGUUGCACGGGGUGCCAUUGAGGGUGGUCUCAGACCGAGGAAAACAAUUUACUUCCAGGUUCUGGAGGAAGCUCAUGAGCUUACUGCAGGUGGAGGUCAAUUUUCGACUGCCCGGCACCCUGAAACCAACGGGCAGGCGGAAAGAGCAAACGGUGUCCUCCAGCAAUACCUGAGGUGUUAUGUCAAUGACAGAGAGAAUGACUGGGUAGAAAAGUUGGCGCUGGCGGAAUUUGCCUACAACAAUGCCGAGAAUGUGUCCACAGGGAUGAGCCCCUUCUUGGCUAAUUAUGGGUGUCAUCCCAGGGCUUUCCCAGGGGAGAGGGGAGAGAUGGAGCGUCCCGGCAGCCGAGCAUUUUGUGGAAGAAAUGGAAGCAAUCCAUCGUCAGCUCCAACUCAACUUAGAAAGGGCGAAGGAAGAAUACAAGAGGCAGGCAGACAAGAACCGAAGGGAAGGUGAAACCAUAAGGGUGGGGGAUAGGGUGUGGCUGUCAACCCAAGGGUUGCCGUUCAAAGGAGGUUGUAAGAAAUUAAGACCCAGGAGGUUGGGUCCCUUUGAGGUCAUUCAACAGGUCAACCCAGUGGCUUUCAGGCUCCGGUUACCCAACCACAUGAAACUGCACCCAGUAUUUCACAGGUCGUUACUGUCACCGUACGAAGGGGAACGAGAAGGGCUGGCCACUCGGGGACCGGUCGUAGAAGAAAGAGAAUGCAGCAGCCAUGUGGCAGAAAUCCUCGACGCCAGGUGGAAGGGGGAUCAGGUGGAGUAUUUGGUAGCGUGGGAAGGAGAACCGGAGUCAGAAAACACUUGGGUAAUGGCUGAAGAUAUCAAUGACGAGGUAUUGAUAGAAACGUUCCAUCAAAGGUUCCCAAGGAAACCUCAGCCUGUGGAGAGGUUCCGGAGGGAAUACUUUGGGACCACUGAUGAAGGGGAGGAGUUGGAAGGAUUCCCGGACUCGGAAGGGGAAGGGGAGAUGGACUCUGAGGAGGAGGUGUACUUCGAGACCAGGAACCGCAACAGGUUGAGAGAAGUGUUCGAGACAUCGGAAGAUGAAGGAAGUUCAUUCCGGGGUUUUGCCUCCUCACCGCCCGUAGAGGAGGGGGCGAGAGGGGUGAAGGGGGCCCUGGAGGGGAGGUGGAUGUCAGGGAACUGCCAUCGGACGGAAGGGAGGUGAAAGGGCUCACACAGGUUGGGAGAGACGCAGCAGCUGAAGAGGGAACCAACAGGGAGGUGAAAGGGCUCACACAGGUUGGGAGAGACGCAGCAGCUGAAGAGGGAACCAGCAGGGGGAGAGGAGCUGAGCUGGAGGGAUGGCUCAGAGACACUUCCAGCGAAAACAGUGGGGA